rnacentral:rRNA from 1 species
AUACGUAGGGGGCGAGCGUUGUCCGGAAUGAUUGGGCGUAAAGGGCGCGUAGGCGGCCCGGUAAGUCUGGAGUGAAAGUCCUGUUUUUAAGAUGGGAAUUGCUUUGGAUACUGUCGGGCUUGAGUGCAGGAGAGGUAAGUGGAAUUCCCAGUGUAGCGGUGAAAUGCGUAGAGAUUGGGAGGAACACCAGUGGCGAAGGCGAGUUACUGGGCUGUAACUGACGCUGAGGCGCGAAAGUGUGGGGAGCAAACAGGAUUAGAUACCCUGGUAGUCCACACUGUAAACGAUGAAUGCUAGGUGUAGGGGGUAUCGACCCCUUCUGUGCCGCAGUCAACACAAUAAGCAUUCCGCCUGGGGAGUACGGCCGCAAGGUUGAAACUCAAAUGAAUUGACGGGG